CCCCCAAAGACCUCUCAAACUCAUCUCUUUCCUUUAUCUCUCAAAGACCCCUAAACCCUAGCCGUCACUACUCCCAAACCUAUCUUCCGUCGGCGGCCAACCACCAUUUGGUCUCAACUUUUCACCAGAUACUCCCCAACUCUUACUCAAUCCAAAUCCCUUAUCCAUUUCCUUUUAAUCCGUCUCAAGCAUGACCAGUAAUAGAUCUAAAAUUCCAAAAAGAGGAGCUUAAACUGACUCUUCCUUGUUUAAUUCUCAAGCGACGACUCGUUUUGAUUCGAAACCUGCACUGGCUGAUUGCUCUUGAUGAGUGCAAUCGAUCGAUGUUGGUUUUGAUUCAUUCCAAAAUUAUCAGAAUACGGUCAAGUCGCCGUCAACAGGUUUGAAGUUGACAUUCUUAUGUCCUAGCAGUCGUUUGCCUUAGUGGGGUGUGAAGGAGAAGGAAGCAUAUGACUCAGAAAUGGCUACUCUCGUGAAGGGUUGAUGCAAUGGAAUGCCUAAGACUAUAUUUUUUUUAACUCAGUAAUUGUAUCAUUCUUGUUAGGUUUUCACUAUAAUGUAAAAUUAUUAACUCUUUAGUUAUGUAUUCCCUGAAAAUUGGCAGAAUUAUCUAGUCAAAAUCAGAUUCAUGUUAGUAUUAA